rnacentral:rRNA from 1 species
AGAGUUUGAUCCUGGCUCAGGAUGAACGCUAGCUACAGGCUUAACACAUGCAAGUCGAGGGGCAGCAUGAACUUAGCUUGCUAAGUUUGAUGGCGACCGGCGCACGGGUGAGUAACACGUAUCCAACCUGCCGAUGGACUCGGGGAUAGCCUUUCGAAAGAAAGAUUAAUACCCGAUGGCAUAGUUCUUCCGCAUGGUAGAACUAUUAAAGAAUUUCGGUCAUCGAUGGGGAUGCGUUCCAUUAGGUUGUUGGCGGGGUAACGGCCGACCAAGCCUUCGAUGGAUAGGGGGUUCUGGAGAGGAAGGUCCCCCACGACUUGGAACUGAGACACGGUCCAAACUCCUACGGGAGGCA